CCUCGAAUCAGGUGGGACUACCCGCUGAACUUAAGCAUAUCAAUAAGCGGAGGAAAAGAAACUAACAAGGAUUCCCCUAGUAACGGCGAGUGAAGCGGGAUGAGCUCAAAUUUAAAAUCUGAUAGUCUUUGGCUGUCCGAGUUGUAAUCUAGAGAAGUGUUUUCCGCGUUGGACCAUGUACAAGUUUCCUGGAACGGAACGUCAUAGAGGGUGAGAAUCCCGUCCUUGACAUGGACUACCAGUGCUUUGUGAUACACUCUCAACGAGUCGAGUUGUUUGGGAUUGCAGCUCAAAAUGGGAGGUAAAUUCCUUCUAAAGCUAAAUAUUGGCGAGAGACCGAUAGCGAACAAGUACCGUGAGGGAAAGAUGAAAAGCACUUUGGAAAGAGAGUUAAACAGUACGUGAAAUUGUUAAAAGGGAAACGAUUGAAGUCAGUCGCGUUUACUUGGACUCAGCCUUACCUCGGUUUGGUGCAUUUCCUUGUGAACGGGCCAGCGUCAAUGUUGUCCGUUGGAAAAGGGUUGGAGAAAUGUGGCUCUUUCGGGAGUGUUAUAGUCUCUGAUCGUAUACAACGGCUGAUAUUGAGUGGUACAGCAUGCUUCGGCGGUGCUUGUGCUGGCAUAAU
rnacentral:rRNA from 1 species